CCAAUAGCGUAUAUUAAAGUUGUUGCAGUUAAAAAGCUCGUAGUUGAAUUUCGGGGUUUGUCAGUUGGUCGGGCUUCACUGUCCGUACCGACUUGAUGGAUCCCUACCUUCUGAAUAACCAGCAUGCUAUUAAGUUAGUGCGUUGGGGAAGCAGAUCUAUUACCUUGAAAAAAUUAGAGUGCUUAAAGCAAGCUAGUGCUUGAAUAGAUUAGCAUGGAAUAAUAAAAUAGGACGGCAUGGUUCUAUUUUGUUGGUUUCUAGGAUCACCGUAAUGAUUGAUAGGGAUAGUUGGGGGCAUUAGUAUUCAAUUGUCAGAGGUGAAAUUCUUGGAUUUAUUGAAGACUAACUUCUGCGAAAGCAUUUGCCAAGGAUGUUUUCACUAAUCAAGAACGAAAGUUAGGGGAUCGAAGACGAUCAGAUACCGUCGUAGUCUUAACCAUAAACUAUGCCGACUAGGAAUCGGACGAUGUUAAUUUUUUAAUGACUCGUUCGGCACCUUACG
rnacentral:rRNA from 1 species